GGAAAGAGACGGAGCGUGAGGAAAGAAGCCGAGAGAGGACAGAGAAUUUGAAACAGAGACAGACCGGAGGACUCCACAUUCGACGCCAACCGGUAAUGGCUUCUCCUUUCCCCUUGUGAACCCUUUCUAUCAACUUAUUGUUUUGCUAACUCCGAUUUAACUUAAAAUCCCCAAAAAAACACUCCGAUUAAACUUCAAUUUGUGGAGCGAACCCUUUAGGAGGCUCACCAGCCAGGUUUUCUCUCUGGUUUUCACGGCGUCGUUUCAGUCUCAUUCUUAAGAAUUCAUCCUGUACUACUCUUGCACAGUACAGAUUUCAAAUUGAAAUUCCAUCGGCAGCAGGAUUCAACAAAUACGUCGCUGCAUGAAGAUUUGUUUUAAAGUGCUUAUCCCAUCGAGCUUGAAUAAUGUUUGUGGCCUGAAUUAGGAGCUUAAGUUGAAAUCUCACGGUGAGAAUUGGAAGCUCGAUUUCGGAGCUUAAUUUAUGUUCAGACACUGUUUUGAAACUAGUCAUUUUGAGGAGAUAAAGUAGUUCUAGAUCUGAUAUGGCCAUAUAUCACUUUGAGCUAUUAAAAGAAGUUCUAAAUAAAUGAUCUUCCCGACAGCACAACUGACGUAGCUCAUCAAAUUUUGAUUUAUUGAUGCUUGUGUGUGUCAAUUCACGCCAGCCAUGGAGUUCGAUCACGCCAACCCUCAUCAUGCUUCAGAAAUGCAGAACCAUAGACGACGUGAAUCAAAUGCAUGCGAGAGCGAUCACAACUGGGCUAAUCAACAACUCUUCUUUCACUACCAAACUAAUCCUCACUUUUGUUUCUUCGCAUCAAGAGCCUCUUGUUGAGUUCGCUCGCUACAUCUUCUUCAAGCAUCGUGCUCAUCAUAAGCCUCGAGAGCAAGACGACCCUUUUCUUUGGAAUGCCAUCCUCAAGUCCUACUCUCAUGGUUGUUACCCAAGAGGGGCUCUGGCAAUACUCUGUUUGAUGCUUGAACUUGGAGUUUGUUUGGAUAAGUUCUCAUUUUCUCUGGUUUUGAAAGCUUGCUCUCGAGCAGGUUUGAUGAAAGAAGGAACGCAGGUUCAUGGAUUGCUGUGUAAACUACGAAUUGGGUCUGAUAUAUAUUUGCAAAAUUGCUUGAUUGCAUGCUUUUUGAGAUUUGGGUGUAUUCAAUUUGCCCGACGAUUGUUUGACAGAAUGACUUGUCGUGAUUCUAUCUCAUAUAACUCAAUGAUCGAUGGGUAUGUCAAAUAUGGGAUGGUUGGAAGAGCACGUGAAUUGUUUGACAAUAUGCCUCUGAAGGAGAAGAAUUUGAUUACAUGGAAUUCAAUGAUUGGAGGGUACUUGAGAUCCAAAGAUAGAUUGAAUUUUGCCUGGAAUCUGUUUCUUAAAAUGCCUGAAAGAGAUUUGGUUUCAUGGAACACAAUGAUUGAUGGAUGUGUAAAGCUUGGAAAUAUAGAAGAUGCUCAGGUAUUGUUUAACAAGAUGCCAAAGCGAGAUUUGGUUAGUUGGACUACCAUGAUAGAUGGUUAUGUUAAAUCAGGUAAUGUUCUUGUUGCAAGGAGAUUGUUUGAUGAAAUGCCCGAAAGAAACACCAUUUCUUGUAAUACCAUGAUGGCUGGCUAUGUUCAAAAUGGUUAUUGUGUUGAAGCUUUGAAGCUAUUUCAUGAUAUGAGAAUAAAAGCACAUACACAACCAGAUGAGACCACCCUGUUGAUUGUUCUUACAGCGAUCACGCAGUUAGGACAUAUUGAAGUUGGAGCUGUCAUACACCGAUAUUUAAAGGAUAACAAUAGCAAAUCUUUGAGUGGUAAACUUGGUGUUGGCCUAAUUGACAUGUACUCCAAGUGUGGUAGCAUGGUGAAUGCUAUCUCAGUAUUCGAGAAUAUUGAAAAGAAAAGUGUUGAUCAUUGGAAUGCUCUGAUUGGCGGCUUAGCUAUUCAUGGUAUGGGUGAAAUGGCUAUCAAUUUUCUCUUCCAGAUGGUAAAGGAUUAUGUCAAACCUGAUGAUAUCACGUUCAUUGGAGUGUUAAGUGCUUGUGGACAUGCCGGUUUGCUGAAGGAGGGACUGAUCUGUUUUGAGCUCAUGCAAAGAGUUUACAAGGUCGAACCAAAGCUGCAACACUAUGGAUGCAUGGUAGACAUCCUUUGUCGAGCCGGGCAUGUUGAAGCGGCCAAAAAACUUGUUGAGGCAAUGCCUAUUGAACCAAACGAUGUGAUUUGGAGGACUUUGCUUAGUUCUUGUCAAAUCCAUGAGAACUUCUCAGUAGGAAAGCCAGUUGCUGAGCAAUUGAUUGAGCUAAACUCUUUCAGUCCAAACUCCUACGUGCUUCUAUCUAAUGUUUAUGCUAGUGUGGGCAUGUGGGACAAUGUUAAAAUGGUCAGAACAGUAAUGAAAGAGAGAAACCUGAAGAAAAUUCCAGGCUGUAGUUGGAUUGAAUUGGAGGGAGUUGUUCAUCAGUUCUUUGUACAAGACAAGUCACACCCUCAAGUUAAAGAGAUUUAUUCCAUGUUAAGUGGAUCUGACAUUGAAGAUGAUGAUGAGCAGCGUCCAACUAUGGUGGAAUCAACAACCAAACCUUGGACUUAAGGUUGAAUGUGUGCUAACAAAACAAGGUCAGCGAUUUCUAAAGAAGGUGAUGACCUCUGGAGACCCCUCGGCCACAAACAACUUGAUCCGAAGAUUUGUACAAAAUUCACCUAAAUCAGUGUCUCUCACCACACUGUACCAUCUCCUCUCUCCUUCUUCACUUCAACCCCAUGUCUCCUCACUCGCCUUUCCAUCCUGCAAGUUUUGCAGCUUUAUGCAAGAAUUGCUGAAGCACCUUGGUACAGUUGGAACCCUAAGAUUGUGGCUCAGCUUGCUGCUUUGCUGGAUAAACAGGAACAAUAUGCAGCCUGGGAAACUCUAAUUUCGGAAGCC